AUCACUAGUCCAGACCACGUUGAAUACACCGGUUUUCGUCCAAUCAUCGAAGUUAGGCAACGUGGGGCGCGGUCAGUACUUGGAUGGGUGACCGCCUGGGAACUCCGCGUGACGUUGGCU
rnacentral:rRNA from 1 species